UCGAAAUUUCACUAUUAAUUGGAGCCGAUUUUUAUUGGGAAAUAGUUGAAGAUAAAGUUGUACGCGGAAACGGACCCACCGCAGUCAAAUCAAAAUUAGGGUACUUACUUUCUGGACCGUUAAAUUCAGAAAAAUCACAGCUAUCAACAGUGUCAAGUAUUUCCAAUGUACUUAUUUCACAUCAAACAGAGGAACACAACUUAGAAGCGUUUAGGAAGAUUGAAGCUCGAGAAGUAGAUUUCAACAAGUACACGACGACAAAGAGAACUAUAUAAGAACUUCAAUUGAGUUUCGCGACAACCAAGAUUAUGCAAAGUUACCAUGGAAACACGACAACGAUUAAAGAGAACAUUAAACUUGUUUUAUGGACUUUUGAAGUAAAGUGAUCAAGCAUAUUUGUUUAAAAAUGUGUUAAGCG
rnacentral:lncRNA from 1 species